rnacentral:lncRNA from 1 species
GAGAGAAUUGCUGAGGGGAGUAAAUGAGAGCAUGAACGUAGAUUGCAGCACAGCGCCCAUCAUGCGGGAUGCUUUCAAUAACUCAGAAGAGGAAGUUGGAGGCAUGUGAGGUGCAGGAAGGAUUCUAAGCAGUGGUGCUGGCUUUGAAGAUGGAAGGCAUUGUACCUCAAUGAAUGUGACUGGUUUCUAGAAGCUGAGAGUAGCCAGCCCCCAGCUGACAGCCAACAAGGAAACAGGGACCUUGGUUCUCCAACCACAGAAAAUAGAUUCUACCAACAAGAAUGAGCUUGAAAGCAGAUUCUUCCCUCGCACUUAAAGUCUCCUGCAACUAUGGUGAUACACCUUGAUCCGGCAUCUUCCAUUCACCUCUCCAGAUUCAUUCUCCAUGCCUCAGUACUCUGUGCUAUUUCCCAGAAGGCUGAUCCUUAAGGACUACACCUGUGGGAUCCCUUGUCACUGGCAAUGGGACAAUGGGAGGUGCCAGCAGAAAAUCAGAGUGAUGAAGAAUGAGGUCUGGGUAUUUAUCUCCUGGCUUUCUGUAAGUAUACAAGGUGAUAAAAAGGAAAAUGAUUCCUAACAACUUGGGGGUAUGUGGAAGCAGGGGAAGGGGGUGCUGUGGGCUGAACUGUGUUUCCUCAAAGUCAUAUGCUGAAGCUCAAACUCCUAAUGUGACUGUAUUUGGAGCAGGGGCUUUUAAGAAGUAAAGUUAAAAGAUGUCACAAGGUGAACGUCACAAUCCAUUGGAAUAGGUGACCUUAUAAGAAAAGGGAGAGAGAUCUCUUCCUCUCCAGACACACACACACACACCCACACACACCAAGGAAAGGCCAUGUGAGCACGUGGUGAGAAGGCAGCCGUCUGUAAGCCAGGAAGAGAGACCUCACCAGAACUCAACCAUGUUGGCACCUGAUCUCGAACUUUCCAGCCUCUAGAACUGGAAGAAAGUACAUUUCUGUUUAAACUACCAGGUAUGUGAUAUUUUGUUAUGGCAGCCUGAAAAGACAUACAUGGGCAGGGAAGACUUCUCAGAGGUAUUUCUUGAGCUGAGACUUUUUGUUUCCUAGUGGUGGGAGGUAGGGUUUUCCAGGCAGAGAACACCAUGCAAUAAGGCACAAAAUUUCAGGGAAUAGUAUGUAUCAAGCACUUGGAUCAUAGAGUGCUUGGAAGGGAAGUGGAAGAGGCUGGAAAAGCAAGCAGAGGCCAGAUGUUAGGGUUUAAUGUCAAAGGCCAAGAAAUUUGCCUAAAAGAAGUCCAGUGGGAAACUACUGAGGGUUCUUAAGUCAUCUGAAGUAUGUAAUAGUAUCCAUGUUCAAAAGACCAUUCUUGUGAUUGUGUGAGAGGCCAGACUAAUAAAGAGGUAGAGAAUAAUUUAACUCUGAUUUUUGAAAUGUGCCCGAUGGAGCCCUCAGGGUCCUAAGUCAAGGAUCACCAUGAAGCUGGAGGAGGAGGCUAAGUGGGCAGGGUCAUGGGAUCCCAUGUCUACUUCACCCACAUAAGUUCUGUGGCCCUAGACUAGACCUGGAAUCUUUGUUACACUCAGGACAACUAGUCUAGAAUAUUUUACUUCAAAGACUGUACUGAAAGAGGCUACAUAGGGAGGUCAAAGGCACCUGCUUCAGCUCUUUUAGCUAUGGUGAAAAAGUCAGGGAAUUAUCAAGAAUUCUGAGAGAAAUGUGACUGGACCCAUGCCAGGAAGAUGUCAGAACUACUAAGAAAUACCAAUGGGGUGGACUGUUAUCAACCCCAGCUGAAUGACAGGCCAUAUGCAAAGUCCUAGACUAUUAUGGCUCUUAGAUUUUCAGACUACACCCAGUUGAUUAAAUGAGUCUGUGUGAUAAAUUGAAAUGUAAAAGGUUAUUUUCAUGCCAUGGAGAUCUGCUCUUGUCGGAUAUAUUUUCAUCUGAAAAUAUCGAUUAAAAUGAUUAAUAUAGACAUAACAAAAAUGACUAACUUGCUUUAGAGAAAAGAUGAUAUCUCUUAGGAAUGAGCUUUAAAAUCUCACGAGCGGUUUUUGGCAACUGCAUAGCAGAACUAAAAAGAAUGCAGGUUAAGUAUCUCUUACCCAAAAUGUUUCACAAGUAAAAUAAAACAGAAGUGUAUCAGAUUUCAAAUUUUUUUUAAAUUUUGGAAUAUCUGCAUAAACAAUGAGAUAUCUUGGGGAUAGGGCCCAAGUUUAAACAUAAAAUUAAUUUCUGUUUCAUAUACAGCUUAUGUACAUAAGCUGAUGGUAAUUUUAUACAUAUUUUAAAUAAUUUUGUACAAGACACAAAGGUUUGAAUGCAUUUUUGAAUGCAACCUGUCACACGGUCAGGUAUGUGAAAUUUUCCACUUGUGGCAUCGUGUUGACACUCAAGAAGUUUUGGUUUUGGAGCAUUUUGGAUUUUGGAUUUUAUGUAUUAUAAGAUUGUAAGGUAAAAACUAUGCCCAGGAGAGGGCAGUGCAGCCUUCUGUAAAGUUAACUAAUAGGCCCAAUAGAAAAUAGUGUGAGCAUUAAGAGCAGAGAUGUUCUAAUUCAUGAAAACUAUUUUGUGUUAAGUCACUUUACCUUUUUAAAACAUGAGAGACAUACUGCCACUUCUAUGUCCCUUGAAGAGACAGCACAAGGGAGAGCUGCUUAAGUCUUGUAAAAAAAAAUUCUGGAAAACUUUAGCUCCCUAAAACUGAAGAAUUGUAUCAAAACUGAAGAACUGUAUCAGUUCUAGCAGGUUUCUACUGACUUUCCUAUUUUAAACAAUUAUCUUUGUUUCUGAAAACUGAUUCAAUAAACUAGUUUUUAAAAGAGAUUAAUGUCUAAAAUUUUAUUUGUUUAUAUUCUCCUUUAAUUUACACUGUACACAUCUCCAAGAGCUGAUGAAAGUAUUCUAAACGGUUUCCUGUGGAAAUCUGUAGUACAGA